AGAAUCAACGCUGGCGGCGUGCCUAACACGUGCAAGUCGAACGAGAAAGUGGAGCAAUCCAUGAGUACAGUGGCGACCGGGUGAGUAACACGUGACUAACCUACCCUUGAGUGGGGGAUAACUGAGGGAAACCUUAGCUAAUACCGCAUAAUACCCACGGGUCAAAGGAGCAAUUCGCUCGAGGAGGGGUCGCGGCCGAUUAGUUAGUUGGCAGGGUAAUGGCCUACCAAGACGAUGAUCGGUA
rnacentral:rRNA from 1 species